GACAGUAGAGGUGAUGUGACAGAAGUGAUGGGAGGAGACAGUAGAGGCGACGGGAGGAGACAGUAGAGGAGACAGUAGAGGCGACGGGAAGAGACGGUAGAGGAGACGGGAGGAGACGGUAGAGGUGACGGGAGGAGACGGUAGAGGUGAUGUGACAGAAGUGAUGGGAGGAGACAGUAGAGGCGACGGGAGGAGACGGUAGAGGUGACGGGAGGAGGCGGGAAGAGACAGUAGAGGUGACGGGAGAUGACAGUAGAGGCGACGGGAGAUGACAGUAGAGGCGACGGGAGAUGACAGUAGAGGCGACGGGAGAUGACAGUAGAGGCGACGGGAGAUGACAGUAGAGGCGACGGGAGAUGACAGUAGAGGUGACGGGAGAUGACAGAGGUGACGGGAGAUGACAGAGGUGACGGGAGAUGACAGAGGUGACGGGAGAUGACAGAGGUGACGGGAGAUGACAGAGGUGACGGGAGAUGACGGGAGAUGACAGAGGUGACGGGAGAUGACAGAGGUGACGGGAGAUGACAGAGGUGACGGGAGAUGACGGGAGAUGACAGAGGUGACGGGAGAUGACAGUAGAGGUGACGGGAGAUGACAGUAGAGGUGACGGGAGAUGACAGUAGAGGUGACGGGAGAUGACAGUAGAGGUGACGGGAGAUGACAGAGGUGACAGGAGAUGACAGUAGAGGUGACGGGAGAUGACAGUAGAGAUGACGGGAGAUGACAGAGGUGACGGGAGAUGACAGUAGAGGUGACGGGAGAUGACAGUAGAGGUGACGGGAGAUGACAGUAGAGGUGACGGGAGAUGACAGAGGUGACGGGAGAUGACAGAGGUGACGGGAGAUGACAGAGGUGACGGGAGA